rnacentral:lncRNA from 1 species
GGGCUUCUUAUCUGGGCCGUCACCCUCGCCGGCCUCCUCGGCGGCGGCGUCCUCCUCGUCUACAACACCAGCGCUCUCGCCGGCUAAGAGAGCAUCUACGUGUAACACAGGGCCGGGUCUCUGCUUGCAUGCACGUCUCUGUAAUCUACAUAGCUACCUCCUGUGAAUGUAUGCAAUCAACGAUGCAAAGUAAUUGAUCCGAACAGAUGGUUUAUGUGUAUGUACGUAACGCUGUAACGAUAUACUUCCUACUUUGGAAACUGUAAAAGGGUGGAUUCUUGGAGCCCGUAUGCACGCACCCUCUACCAUGCAUAGGCGCAUCUGUUCCUAGGUAUUUGGGACGCGCCUGACUCGUGUCACAGAGUGCCCAGAAGAUUAAUAUAGUGGCCGCCGGCGGUCGC